rnacentral:lncRNA from 1 species
UGUUGAAAAGAUCUGUAAAAAAAAAAAAGAAAGACCAGCAAACUCAGCAGCAAGCAAAAAUUGCAGAAAAUCAGUAUCAACAACAGCAGGAGGAACAUUUGUUCACUACUGUCAACUACAAAAUUUGUAGUGAUGAUGGAACUUGGUUGCUGGAUAGUGGAUGCACUCAUCAUAUGACUUCAAACUCCAGCAUCUUUAUUGAAUUGAAUGAAUCAUACAGAUCAAGAUUCAAGGUUGGCAAUGGAGAACAUGUAGAGGUCAAAGGAAUUGGUAUUAUUGCUGUGGAGACUCCAACAGGUACUAAACACCUAUAUGAUGUACUUUAUGUACCAGACAUAGAUCAAAAUCUAUUUAGUGUAGGCCAAUUGCUAGAGAAAAAUUACACUUUAAUAUUUAAGAAUAAAGUUUGCACUUUACUAGAUGCAAAUGAUCAUGAAUUGAUGUCUAUUAUGAUAAAGAAUAGAAGCUUUCCUUUAGAAUGGAAAAACAUCACUACUCGUUGAGUCUUCCCUUGUGGCACAAAAGAUUUGGCCAUGCAAACUUCAUCUCACUUAAGAACUUGCAUAAACUUGAUCUAGUAAAUAACACGCCUGAUAUAAAUGAUGAUGCUUGUGUAUGUGAUGUUUGUCAAAUUGGGAAGCAAACAAGAUCGCCAUUUCCCAAAAAUCAGUCAAGAAGAGCUUCAUGUAAGCUUGAACUUGUUCAUUCAGAUGUGUGUGGUUUAAUGAGGAUACCUACUUUAAAUGGUAGUAGAUAUUUUGUUCUUUUUAUUGAUGACUUGACAAGAAUGCGCUGGGUUUAUUAUUUAAAGUUGAAAUCUGAAGUUACAUCUAUGUUUCAAAAAUUUAGAAAUUUUGUGGAGAAUGAAAGUGGUUGUAGGAUUAAAGCCGUUAGAACCGACAAUGGAACUGAAUACAGCUAUGCUAAGUUUGACAAAUUCUGCAAUGCCAUGGGACUCAAGCACUAGUUGAUUGUUCCAUAUUCUUCUCAACAAAAUGGUGUGUGUGAGAAGAAGAAUAGGACAAUGAUGGAGAUGGCUAGUGUUUGAUGUUUGAAAAAAAAAAUUCCAAAAGAAUUCUGGGCUGAAGCUGUUAAUACAACAAUAUAUCUUCUCAAUAGAUUGCCUACAAAAGCCUUAGAAAAGAAAAUUCCAUUUGAAGCUUGGUAUGGAGUCAAGACUGAUGUUGUACACUUAAAAGUAUUUGGUAGCAUUGUUUUACUCAUAUCCUUGAUGCAAAAAGGGAUAAGUUGAGCCAGAAGGCUGAGAUUGGCAUUUUGGUUAGGUUUGUGACAAUGCCAAAGGGUACAGAGUCUACAAUCCUCAAACCAAGAAGAUGAAGCUAGUAGGGAUAUCAAAGUUGAUGAAGAAUCUUCAUGGAAUUGGGAAUCAAGUUCAAUAGUUAAGAACCAAAUUCAAGGAGUAAUACCCUAAGAAAAAGAUGCCUUAAUCAGUGAGGAUGAAGCAGAAUCUAAUAGUGGUUUAGAUUCAGAAAAUGAAGUGAUUAGAACAAGAUCACUUGCAGAUGUGUAUGCUAGCUGCAAUUCAACCAUGUUGGAACCUUCUAAUUUUUUUGAAGCGGCAAGUUCACAAGGUUGGAUGGUAGCAAUGAAGGAGGAGCUGGCCAUGAUUGAGAAAAAUGAUACUUGGGUGCUAGUUGACAGACCAAUAAAUAAAAAUGUAAUUGAAGUUAAAUGGGUAUACAAAACUAAGCUAAAUCCAGAUGGUUCAAUUAAUAAACUCAAGGCCAGACUAGUUGUAAAAGGCUAUUCUCAGCAGUAUGGUAUUGAUUUCUCGGAUACCUUUGCUCCGGUAGCAAGGUAUGAAACAAUAAGGCUAUUGAUUGCUUUAGCUGCUCAAAAAGAUUGAAAAAUCCAUCAAUUGGAUGUUAAGUCAGCUUUUUUAAAUGGAUAUUUGCAUGAAGAAAUUUUUAUUGAGCAACCAGAAGGCUUUCUUGUUGCAGGAAAUGAAGACAAGGUGUACUUGCUUAAGAAAGCUUUGUAUGGAUUAAAGCAGGCUCCGAGGGCCUGGUAUAGCAAGAUUGAUGACCAUCUUGGUAGCCUUGGUUUCACUAGAUGCUUGAAUGAGCAAACCCUUUAUGUAAAGCAAGUGCAAGAAGAAAUGGUUAUUAUUCCACUAUAUGUUGAUGAUCUUCUAGUGACUGGCAGGAACUUUGCUUUAAUUGAAAUGGUGAAAUCAGAAUUGAAGAAAAGUUUGAUAUGAUAUAUUUAGGGAAAAGGCAAUACUUUCUUGACAUAGAAAUACAUCAAACACAACAAGGAAUCUUUGUUUGCCAAAGAUAGUAUGCUAAGGAAGUUUUAAGAAAGUUCAAUAUGGAAAAUUGUAAACCAGUAAACACUCCCCUAAUUCAGAAUGCAAAAAUGAUGAAGGAAAAUGGAGCUAAAAACAUAGAUGCUAGAGUUUAUAGAAGUUUAGUGGGGUGCUUGUUGUAUUUAACAGCAACAAGACCAAAUAUUACAUUUGUUAUUUGUUAAAAAUAUGUUGUCAAGAUUCAGACAAGAGCCAAGCGAAAUACACUUUCAAGCAGCAAAAAGGGUUUUGAGAUACAUUAAAGGGACUGAAGAGCUGGGAAUUUGAUUUAGAAAGUCUGAAAUUUUGAAGUUGAUUGGUUUUACAAAUAGUGAUUGGGCUGGAUCCUCUGAAGACAUGAAAAGUACCUCUAGUUAUGUGUUUUAUGUUGGUUCAAGUGUUAUUUGUUGGAAUUCAAUGAAGUAGAAAACUGUAGCAUAGUCCACAGCAGAAGCUGAAUACAUUGCAGCCUCAGAAGUUACAAAUCAAGCACUUUGGUUGAGGAAAGUGUUAGAGGAUCUCAAACACAAGCAAGAAGAAGCAACAAUCAUCUAUUGUGACAACCAAUCUGCAGUAGCUAUGGUGAAGAAUCCUGUGUUUCAUGGAAGAACCAAGCAUAUCAAGAUCAAGUAUCACUCGAUCAGAGAAGCAUAAGAAGAAAAGGAAGUGGAACUUGUAAGCUGCAAAUCAGAGGAUCAAAAUGUAGAUAUUCUAACCAAAUCCUUACCUAAAGCAAGAUUUGAAACACUUAGAAACAAUGUUGGUGUUUCUAGCAAAAAUGCCAAGGAGAAGUGAUGAAGUCAAAUUGACACUUUUACUGUAAAAAAAAUUUUUUUGUACUUUUUAUCAACUUGAAAUUAGCUGAAUUUAAGGAUAAAAGCUGGUAGUUUUUACCAAAAUAUGGUCUUACAUGUUUUAAGGAAAGCUGUCAAAAAUAAGUUAGUAUGGAUUAGGUAAAGUGCUGUUGACUAUUUUUGCUAGAAACUUCUUGUGAUCUUUAUAUAUUUGAGAUGUAAUAUAUCAGUUCGUUUUGGGAAGUGAACUUUCUGAAAAAUAUAUCAACUUCCAUCCUCUUUGUUCAAAAAUCUUUCACAAAGAAGCUCAAGGCUUUGUCUUGCAUCCAAUCUAUUGUCUCUGAUGCAAUUUUCACCAAGAUUGUGAAACUGCCAAGGAAGCCUGGGAUAGACUGCAAGAAGAAUUUAGAGGAAAUGCAAGAACAAGGCAAAUGCAAGUCUUAAACUUGAGAAGGAAGUAUGAGGGCUUGAAGAUGAAAGAUUCAGAAUCUAUCAAAGAGUAUUCUGAUAGGAUGAUGAAGGUGAUGAACCAAGUAUGUAGCGAUCGAGGAAAAAAAUGUUUUAUUUUGUUCCAAAAUAAAAUUAUAGAACUCAAAUAUAAUUUGGGUUAUAUUAUUACGUUGCUACGACACUUCCUUAAGAGUUCAAAUUAAAGUUUUGGUCAUGAUAGUAAAGCCUCGUGUACGUGUUUUUAAAAAUUUUGUAAGGUAUCGAAAUCUCUUUAGACGAC